UGAGGAAUAUUGGUCAAUGGGCGUUAGCCUGAACCAGCCAAGUAGCGUGAAGGAUGAAGGCUCUAUGGGUCGUAAACUUCUUUUAUAUAAGAAUAAAGUGCAGUAUGUAUACUGUUUUGUAUGUAUUAUAUGAAUAAGGAUCGGCUAACUCCGUGCCAGCAGCCGCGGUAAUACGGAGGAUCCGAGCGUUAUCCGGAUUUAUUGGGUUUAAAGGGAGCGUAGGUGGACUGGUAAGUCAGUUGUGAAAGUUUGCGGCUCAACCGUAAAAUUGCAGUUGAUACUGUCAGUCUUGAGUACAGUAGAGGUGGGCGGAAUUCGUGGUGUAGCGGUGAAAUGCUUAGAUAUCACGAAGAACUCCGAUUGCGAAGGCAGCUCACUGGACUGCAACUGACACUGAUGCUCGAAAGUGUGGGUAUCAAACA
rnacentral:rRNA from 1 species